UAUUGCGCAAUGGGGGAAACCCUGACGCAGCAACGCCGCGUGAGUGAGGAAGGUCUUCGGAUUGUAAAACUCUGUUCUUAGGGAAAAAUGGUCAUGGAGCUAAUACCCCAUGAUUUGAUGGUACCUAAGUAGAAAGCACCGGCUAACUUCGUGCCAGCAGCCGCGGUAAUACGAAGGGUGCAAGCGUUGUUCGGAAUCAUUGGGCGUAAAGCGCGCGCAGGCGGAUCAGCAAGUCAGGUGUGAAAUCUCGAAGCUCAACUUCGAAACUGCGCCCGAAACUGCUAGUCUAGAAUGUCGGAGGGGGCAGGGGAAUUUCACGUGUAGGGGUAAAAUCCGUAGAGAUGUGAAGGAACACCGGGGGCGAAGGCGCCUGCCUGGACGACUAUUGACGCUGAGGCGCGAAAGCGUGGGGAGCAAACAGG
rnacentral:rRNA from 1 species